ACCACAAAAAAAAGUGUUAUCAGAGGCUACACCUGUGCUAGCAGCCCUGUGGGGACUCUGAUUCUUUUGCUGUGUUCAGUUAGUGGUAACCCGAUUCCUGGUGGCCCAGCAGGUCCAGGAGACCCAGGCAAGCCUCUUUCUCCCUGAAUCUGCUUGCACCCUGGAUGGGCCGGUAACACGUCCAGAUUGAACCUGUACCUCGUACCUGUUCCAGGCACCCCCAUCACUCUGAAGUUGAACAAAAUAGAUGGCUGGCAGGAGGGAUGGAUGUGCUGUUUGUGACCGACUGCACCUGGCUGGCCUCUGGACCCCCGGUCCCCUUUGUCUCCCUGUCAGAAUAACACAAAACAACCUUUAAACAAUCUUCCGGAUUGUGGGAGCUCCAUCAGCUCCCCGGGGCCCCGGUAACCCAAGGUCCCCCUGAUCAGUAAAUGACACAGUGGACAGAAAGACUGGUACAGGAGUAGUGCAGCAGUGCAAAGAGGACUUACUUUGGGCCCUGGUUCUCCAACACCUCGCUCACCUGGUAGUCCUGGCUCACCUGAGAGGCCCUGAUCCCCCUGAAGAUAAAGGGAAAAAAAACCUUGUCUGUUAUUGGGCGUCUUACCUUUGGUCCUGCUAUUCCAACACCUGGAGCUCCUUUGGGUCCUGGAGGCCCAGCUGGACCCUGAUCUCCCUAUAGGAAAAAAGAGAGUUAGGUUGAAGUCCUGGACCAGGAGCACCAACUGGACCUUGAUUUCCUGGUGGCCCAAAAUUGCCCUGAGAAAAGGGAAUAGAAGAAAUGCAACGAUUAAAGAUUCAGAUCUGUACAUGGAGGCAUCGAUGAGGAAUUCAGCAGUAAAUUUUGGUUCAAAUCACCUUGUCACCUUUGAUCCCAAUACCAGGAAGCCCUCGACUUCCUUUUGGACCUUCAUAUCCUCGAUCACCCUAAAGAAAAUAUGAGAAAUCUGAUUUAUACAUAGCUGUAUGUAAAGUAUGAAAUUUAGAAUAGCAAUCU